rnacentral:rRNA from 1 species
UUCGCAAAUAUCCACGAAACCCUAAGGCGCAAUGAAAGUGAAGGUCAGGCAUCGCACUGACUGAGGCAGGAUCCGUCCGGGUGAGCGAAGCUCUUCUUCCUUUCGCGGGUUCGUCCCGCGGGGGAGCUCGGCGGCGCACUGCCAGCCCAUCUCGGCCGCUUCCCGUCGGCGAGGUGGAGCUAGAGCGCACACUUGGGACCCGAAAGAUGGUGAACUAUGCUCGGGCAGGACGAAGCCAGAGGAAACUCUGGUGGAGGUCCGUAGCGAUUCUGACGUGCAAAUCGAUCGUCGGACCCGAGUAUAGGGGCGAAAGACUAAUCGAACCGUCUAGUAGCUGGUUCCUUCCG